rnacentral:rRNA from 1 species
AGAGUUUGAUCCUGGCUCAGGAUGAACGCUAGCUACAGGCUUAACACAUGCAAGUCGAGGGGCAGCAUGGUCAAAGCUUGCUUUGACUGAUGGCGACCGGCGCACGGGUGAGUAACGCGUAUCCAACCUGGCCCUUAGUAGGGGAUAGCCCGUAGAAAUGCGGAUUAAUACCCUAUGUUGUAUUUUGAGGACAUCUGACGAAUACCAAAGGUUUACCGCUAGGGGAUGGGGAUGCGUCCGAUUAGCUUGCCGGCGGGUAACGGCCCACCGGGGCGACGAUCGGUAGGGGUUCUGAGAGGAAGGUCCCCCACACUGGAACUGAGACACGGUCCAGACUCCUACGGGAGGCAGCAGUGAGGAAUAUUGGUCAAUGGGCGGGAGCCUGAACCAGCCAAGUAGCGUGCAGGAUGACGGCCCUAUGGGUUGUAAACUGCUUUUGUACGGGAAUAAAGUCUGGGACGUGUCCCGGUUUGUAUGUACCGUAAGAAUAAGGACCGGCUAAUUCCGUGCC